AGCGAACGCUGGCGGCGGGCUUAACACAUGCAAGUCGAGCGCCCCGCAAGGGGAGCGGCAGACGGGUGAGUAACACGUGGGAACGUGCCUUUUGGUUCGGAACAACCCAGGGAAACUUGGGCUAAUACCGGAUAAGCCCUUACGGGGAAAGAUUUAUCGCCAAAAGAUCGGCCCGCGUCUGAUUAGCUAGUCGGUGGGGUAAUGGCCCACCAAGGCUACGAUCAGUAGCUGGUCUGAGAGGAUGAUCAGCCACAUUGGGACUGAGACACGGCCCAAACUCCUACGGGAGGCAGCAGUGGGGAAUAUUGGACAAUGGGGGCAACCCUGAUCCAGCCAUGCCGCGUGAGUGAUGAAGGCCUUAGGGUUGUAAAGCUCUUUUAGCAGGGAAGAUAAUGACGGUACCUGCAGAAAAAGCCCCGGCUAACUUCGUGCCAGCCGCCGCGGUAA
rnacentral:rRNA from 1 species